GUGCCAGCCGCCGCGGUAAUACGGAGGGUGCAAGCGUUGUUCGGAAUUAUUGGGCGUAAAGCGCGUGUAGGCGGUUGGGUAAGUCAGAUGUGAAGGCCUUCCGCUCAACGGAAGAAGUGCAUUUGAAACUGCUCGGCUAGAGUACGGGAGAGGAGAGUGGAAUUCCCGGUGUAGAGGUGAAAUUCGUAGAUAUCGGGAGGAACACCAGUGGCGAAGGCGGCUCUCUGGUCCGAUACUGACGCUGAGACGCGAAAGCGUGGGGAGCAAACAGGAUUAGAUACCCUGGUAGUCCACGCCGUAAACGAUGGGCACUAGGUGUAGGAGGUAUUGACCCCUCCUGUGCCGAAGUUAACGCAUUAAGUGCCCCGCCUGGGGAGUACGGCCGCAAGGCUAAAACUUAAAGGAAUUGGCGGGG
rnacentral:rRNA from 1 species